rnacentral:rRNA from 1 species
UUUAUGGAGAGUUUGAUCCUGGCUCAGGAUGAACGCUGGCGGCGUGCCUAAUACAUGCAAGUCGAGCGAACGGACGAGAAGCUUGCUUCUCUGAUGUUAGCGGCGGACGGGUGAGUAACACGUGGAUAACCUACCUAUAAGACUGGGAUAACUUCGGGAAACCGGAGCUAAUACCGGAUAAUAUUUUGAACCGCAUGGUUCAAAAGUGAAAGACGGUCUUGCUGUCACUUAUAGAUGGAUCCGCGCUGCAUUAGCUAGUUGGUAAGGUAACGGCUUACCAAGGCAACGAUGCAUAGCCGACCUGAGAGGGUGAUC